GAUGAACGCUGACAGAAUGCUUAACACAUGCAAGUCAACUUGAAUUUGGGUUUUUAACUUAGGUUUGGGUGGCGGACGGGUGAGUAACGCGUAAAGAACUUGCCUCACAGCUAGGGACAACAUUUGGAAACGAAUGCUAAUACCUAAUAUUAUGAUAAUAGGGCAUCCUAUAAUUAUGAAAGCUAUAAGCGCUGUGAGAGAGCUUUGCGUCCCAUUAGCUAGUUGGAGAGGUAACGGCUCACCAAGGCGAUGAUGGGUAGCCGGCCUGAGAGGGUGAUCGGCCACAAGGGGACUGAGACACGGCCCUUACGCCUACGGGAGGCAGCAGUGGGGAAUAUUGGACAAUGGACCAAGAGUCUGAUCCAGCAAUUCUGUGUGCACGAUGAAGUUUUUCGGAAUGUAAAGUGCUUUCAGUUGGGAAGAAAGAAAUGACGGUACCAACAGAAGAAGUGACGGCUAAAUACGUG
rnacentral:rRNA from 1 species